CGGUAACAGGAAGCAGCUUGCUGCUUCGCUGACGAGUGGCGGACGGGUGAGUAAUGUCUGGGAAACUGCCUGAUGGAGGGGGAUAACUAUUGGAAACGGUAGCUAAUACCGCAUAACGUCGCAAGACCAAAGAGGGGGACCUUCGGGCCUCUUGCCAUCGGAUGUGCCCAGAUGGGAUUAGCUAGUAGGUGGGGUAACGGCUCACCUAGGCGACGAUCCCUAGCUGGUCUGAGAGGAUGACCAGCCACACUGGAACUGAGACACGGUCCAGACUCCUACGGGAGGCAGCAGUGGGGAAUAUUGCACAAUGGGCGCAAGCCUGAUGCAGCCAUGCCGCGUGUAUGAAGAAGGCCUUCGGGUUGUAAAGUACUUUCAGCGGGGAGGAAGGCGACAGGGUUAAUAACCCUGUCGAUUGACGUUACCCGCAGAAGAAGCACCGGCUAACUCCGUGCCAGCAGCCGCGGUAAUACGGAGGGUGCAAGCGUUAAUCGGAAUUACUGGGCGUAAAGCGCACGCAGGCGGUCUGUCAAGUCGGAUGUGAAAUCCCCGGGCUCAACCUGGGAACUGCAUUCGAAACUGGCAGGCUAGAGUCUUGUA
rnacentral:rRNA from 1 species